CUCUGUGAAAAUGGCGGUUUCUUCCCUUACAUCCAGGAUGAAUGCCUGCUCCCUCUGUCUGCUGGCGAGAAAGGCAGACAAAUGGACCCCAGGAAGGAAGACAAGGGCCAAGAGCAUUGUUCAGAAGUCCAAUUCCUGCAAACCCAGAGGCUGCUUACCCGGAACGCCGCUUUCCUCCUCGGGCAGGCAUGGCACCGGCCAUCCUCACCUGUCCAGAGGCUGCCAUGGGGGCUACGGGCAAGGUCACAGAUCCAGAUGCUGAAACAUACUGCGUCCACUAAGUCCCAGUGCUGACAGGGAAGAUGGUGGCUACAACAAAUCUUGCUCCUCCUUGUGUCUAACUUUCACCCGUCCACCCAGAAGAGCCAGCUUUCUGAAAACAGGCCAACAUACCCACCCACCUCAAGUUCAUUCCACUGUGCACUUCUCAGCACCCUCCAAAUGAAGGUGGAGGGAAAACUGACGUUUUUAUAACAUUUAGAACUUUCAACCA